UGUUGAAUUGUGGGGAUAUACUGAAUAGAACGUGGGAGCUAGGCAGGUGCCACUGUGCAAGUGUGUGAGCGCGUGUGACAGACACACAGCCACAAUACAAACUGGGAAUGAUGCAGACAAGCGAAGACGAGCAGCACAGCUCAGGAUCAGCUAUUUCAUUAGGGCUCAUCUGUCAUGUUCUGUAAUUAAAAGUCAGGUUAGCCUGAGCCCCUGCUGCGCACAGAGCGAUAUUCCUGCACAGAAAUGUACACGGUGAUGCUCCUUCCCAUAAUAAAACCUGUUCUUAGCACUGCGUGUCACAAGAGGCCACACUCCUUGUGGCUUGCUUGAAGUCAGAGCAGCCCCACACCUGCAGAGUCCUUGCCCCUGAUUUAACAGCAAAAAGCCACCACCUGCUGUGUUUCCUGGGAAGAGGAGUAGAGUGACAGUGAUUAAGCAUCUGUUCCUAGGUGGCACCUCACCCUGUAGCAAUGUUCUCCUUUCUGGCGCUUGGAAAUGAACCUGGUUUCACUGAUAGCCUUGGAACGCAGCCGCCUGGCAGCUCUAAGUAGCUCAAACUUAAUUAGCUUCAAGCUGUUAAAUGCAUCCAGAACCGGCUAUUAGCGAGCUCAUGUUGAUACAGCAUUUCCACCCUCCUACCCAAGCAGUGCACCCUCCCUCACCUCAGCAGUGGGACGCAGGACGGGGUCGCAGACUCCGGCGUAGCACAAAGUGACAGCCUCCCAUCGAGAGGAUUUCAGUGGGGGCUCUGGAUGCAAAGCCAGCUCCUUCCCAUGGUCCCCACUGCAGACAGGGCCAGGGGUUGUGCCCCGCUGCCGAGACCAGCAGCAGACAGCAGGUGACCCUCUGGGGGUGAUAUGCCUCUGAGCCCAUGCCCAGGACUGCGAAGAAAGGCACCAACACAAACUCAGAUGAAAACUGCUCUCCCGAAGCCACAAAGCAUCAAGCAGGGAAGCAGAACGAGCUGCACAACGCUCUCAGCCCUCUGGCUGGAUGUGUCCUUCUCGCUUUUCACUUUGCCCACAGGAAUAGCUCUGAUGGACAAGAAAGGUUUAGUCAGCCCCUAGUUCCCUGCCAUUGCCAUUUGUGCCUUGCGAUCCUUUAUCAUCCCACAAAGCCGACUGGUUUACACUGGGUUUUGCAGUCCAUACGUUAAAGUGAGUGCAGUAGUGUGGGUGAAGCUGGUGAAGGGUCCAGAGAACACAACUGAUGGGAAGGGCCGCCCAAAAAGGGGAGCCCCUCCAUCCUUCUCCCCAUGCAGGGCCUGCUGGGAGCUGUAGGGCUGCAGCUCGCCAUGCAAACAGCGCUGCAGUGGCCCGAGGGGUGGGCGGGCACACACUGCGCCCUGCAGUCCUGCUGCGGGGUUAAUUUUUAACUCAUCGCAAAUGGGAAUGUGCUUUCAACAGCCCUCUGAUGGAAUGCAGAUAGAAGGAGCUGUGCUGGGGGCAGAGCGCUGCAGGACCUUUGAACAGAAAGCCUUGAAUAAACCAAAACUAUUAGGUUCUGUUUUAAAGGAAAACAACAGCAACAAGGCUUCAUAGAAAAAGAAACAGACAAACAGAAGGUUCAGGUGGAGGUGGAGCAGUGGGAGGGAAAGAGGGAUGGCCAACCCCUCCUGUAGGCCUGGCACCCAGUGAUUGGGGAACCCAGUGAAG
ensembl:lncRNA